GUGCGUUCAAUGUCACUGGGGUUUUCAUCAUUGAAUUGAACACGAUCAUAGCUGUGCACUGGUGUUAUUCUAUUGAUUAGUGUCAACAUGACAGCGGUGUCCCACUAUUCUCAUGUCUUUAUUGAUCACAUAGUGUCAGAAUCAGGGCUGUAUCCUGGUGGACACUAAAUGCAUUUUAUCCAUUGGUCUAAUUCAUGAAGCGUCGUCAGUCUGACUACUGUAACUCUCUCCUGCAGGUCUCCUGCUACCACCAUUCCACCUCUGCAGCUCAUCCACAAUGCAGCAGCUCCACUGCUCUUUAACCUUCCUAAGUCCUCUAAACAUGGUGCUCACGUACCGUGCUGUGAAUGGAUGGGGUCCAGCUUACAUCCAGGACCUGGUCCAACCCGACAUCCCGACCCGCACUCUCCGCUCUGCAUGUGAUAAACUGCUUGUUCCUCCUCACUGAGAGCAAAACACUCGACUAGAUCUCCACUCUUUGCUGUCCUGCUCCUAAAUGGUGGAAGGAGGUCUCUGAAGACAUCAGGACCACAGAGAGCCUUCACAUCUUCAGACUAAAGACACACCUCUUCAGACUCUACCUCCACUAACACACUAACUAACUGUAGCACUUACAUUGGACUUAUAAUGGUUCUUAUCUACAGCAAGUUGUAAAGCGGCUUAUUAGCGUCAGCUAAUUGACAUGUGAUGUAAUGAAGGUGUGAAGGUGUGGACUCUGCUAUGAAUCAGGCUGAGGACCCAGAGGACGGAGUCCCUCCCUCUAAAGCCCCUCUGUGUGGGGAACAUGACAGCCAGACCAAAGCUCAGAGAGUCAGAGCCUCCAGCCACCAACCUCACCGCACGUCACUGCCAGCAGCUCUGUGAAAGGUCCAACGUCUAGUUUCAGAAGAUCUAAGGAGACUUCUACAGGCAGCUUCAGACUGAUACGUGGGGAAGUUGUUCCGCCCCAACAGGUUCAACCUGAUCAUCAACACCACCGCGUGAGGACGUGAGGACACACCCUCUCUGAUGAAGGACAACAAGCUCUAACAAGCUGCAACACUUCACUCCGUCUGAUGGAAGCUGAAGUGAAGCACGGAGCUCCUUUUCUACACGGACCUGCUGAGGACAGAAGAGAGCUUCUCACUGAGGAAGUUCAUGUCUACAAGCUCACAGGUUGUUGUGAAGGUGUGAAGGUGUGGACUCUGCUAUGAAUCAGGCUGAGGACCCAGAGGACGGAGUCCCUCCCUCUGAAGCCCCUCUGUGUGGGGAACAUGACAGCCAGACCAAAGCUCAGAGGAUCCAUCAGAGACCAGGACCUGGACCUGGACCCAGCUGUGUGUCUAUGAAGAGUAACUGGUCUAUGGAGCUUCCUAUAGAAUUCAAAGAUGUUGGUCCCUCUGUUGAUGCAAGGGCCCUUCAGCAGUGUCCAGUGAGGGAGGGAGAGCUCCAUGGAGGACUUGGUGAGACCUGUUGGGACUAAACCAAACUGACUGGUGAAGAAAACAGUGAGCUGAAAGACUGAGCAUCUUACUUCUCCUUUCCACCUCCCAAUGAUCAUUUCCACUUCACACUGAGUGAAGUUACGUUUCUACGUUUUCCUCUCAGUGUUUGUCAUGAUUUCGCAAUCGAUGAAUAUUCAUUUGUGGGCGUUCCACAGACUAUAUAUGGGCAACUGUGG
ensembl:lncRNA